CUUUUAUUAAUUUAUUUUAUCAAGUACCAACAAUUCACGCAUAUAUAAUACAGUCAAUGGAUAAUAGUAGUAGUAAAUCGCUUCAAUCAACAUUUAAAAUUUUAACCAACAUAACGUGUUCCUAAAAAAUUAGCAACGGCUUCCAAACUACCUGGCCUGCGAUCACUGGCCCAAACUACUAUUUUCAAACUUGAGAAUGGAAAGCUAUCCCAUAAAAACAUGAUCAAACAAAUGUCCCGUUUGGUGGCGUGCCUGGCGAUGAAGGAGUCGCGGCGGGAGCGGCCGGAUGCCGCGCAGGAGGAUCUCGAUGCAUAAUCUUCAUUAUUCCAUGUCGAUUCGCAUUGAAUCGCCAAGGAUAGCCCAUUUGACAUUCGACUUCGCCUCUUGCAGAACUCACUCAUGUGGGCAAAGCCCUGGCAGCAAUCACAAAAGCAAAGGGGAAGCUGCAGGUUGCGUCGUUGAUAACAUAAAAAUUGGAUACAUUGGAGGACUAUAUACAACCUUAUUAUGGCUUAUAUGCCUAUUGUGCGCCAAAAUUCUUCCGAUGGAGUGUUCAUAUUAGCAUCCAAGAUGUGCUAUAUAAUAAUUUAAAUUAGCGAAAAAAGAAUAUGUUAAAUUGUCCUCAAACCCAAAAGAAACAUCACAAAAGCAAAGGAGAAGCUGCAGGUUGCGUCGCAAAUUUAAAUUUGAUAACAAUAACACUCAUAAAGUGGGGAUCGGGGGCAACAUAUUUAAAAAUCUAUUUUAACAUGAAAAUGACGUACACAUAAUAAAGUAUAAUUAAUCAAAGAACAAGUUUGGAAAAUUUUACAAUAUAUACAGAAAAUCCUGCGCCCGCCGUGCCUCCUCCUUCUCCAGCCACGUCAGCAGAAUGGGCCUCAGUUUGAUCAGCUCUACGUUCUCCAAUUUCGAUAUUGUGGUCUGCGUCAGUGGUCUGACGCCAGGUAGCUCGGCCAGAGCCUUGCCCACAUAGUCUUGGAACUGGGAAAAGAUUGCGAUCCUAAGAUGUGUACAUUUCUGUAUAAUGCAAAAGCAACUCUGUCUUACUAAUGAAGAUUAUGCAUCGGGCAUGCAUCCUGCGCGGCAUCCGGCCGCUCCCGCCGCGACUCCUCCAUCGCCAGGCACGCCACCAAACGGACAUUUGCUUCAUCAUGUUUUUAUGGGAUAGCUGUCCAUUCUCAAGUUUGGAAAUAGUAGUUUGGGCUUUGAUCGCAGGCCAGGUAGUUUGGAAUCAUUUCAUUUUUGAAUCAUUCUAAAUUCGCUGCUUACCGUUGCUAAUUUUUAGGAACACGUUAUGUUGGUUAAAAUUUUAAAUGUUGAUUGAAGCGAUUUACUACUACUAUUAUCCAUUGACUGUAUUAUAUAUGCGUGAAUUGUUGGUACUUGAUAAAAUAAAUUAAUAAAAGAAAAGCCCGUUAAAAGUGCAAAGGUAACGAAAAUAUAAUUGCACAAAAUUGUAAUGUUAAAA